CCGAACAUAGUAGCAAUGAUAGUGAUAGGGUGCGCAAGAUAUUACAAUUUCUAACAUUUUUAUAUAUCAUUUCAAGCCUAGAAAGUUUUAAUAAUAUUAAUUUUAUGCUGCAUAGUAGUUAUAUUUUAAAAAGAAAUGAUAAGGAUUAAAAUUUAUGGAAAUUAUCUGUCAAACAGACAGGUAAAAAUUAGGUCGAGUUAUCUACGCCUAUAAAUUUUUUAACAGUCUGUCUACGGAACGUACCUGCAUAUGGCGGACGCUCAGUUUGUGUUUAUGUCAAUAAGAAACUGAUUUUUAACAUUUGCGCGGGUGUGGAUGAAACAUUUUUUGAUUAAUUAUGUGUUUGUGGAAUCUGUGAAUUGUGUGUUAUUUUUAUGAUAAUGGUUUUCAUCGUUGAACUUUUGGAUAAAUUGAUACGCUCGGUGUAGUUAUACGGACAAUUUAGUUCCAGACCGAGGUUAUCCUGAGAUGGAAGCCGAACCCACACCCGCGCGGCCCGGCGCCGGUAAAAUGCGAGAGCGACGUCGCGCGCUACAUCGCACCGUCGCUCUGCUGUUUGCCUGCCUCCUCUUCCUCAACUGUCAAGUCGACGCUGCUGACCCUCCCGAGAUAACGAUCCGACCUCGAAACAUGCAAGUGCGUGCUAACGGCAUCGCUGCUUUCUACUGCGCGGCGAGAGGCGACCCGAUCCCGAACAUACAGUGGCGCAAGAACGGCAAGAAAGUCUCCAGCAUGCAAACCCGCUACCAAGUGUCGGGAAUGGAGGCGACCGCCGGGCCGGGCGCGAACGGGGCCGUCCUGAGAAUCGAACCCGUGCGCGUGCAACGAGACGACGCGACCUACGAAUGUGUUGCUGAGAACGGUGUCGGUGACGCCGUGACGGCUGUGGCAACGCUCACAGUAUUCGAAGCUGACAAAGUGCCCCCCGGAUUCCCGAACAUCGCGCCGCCGCCCACGAUGAUGGUGGUGGAAGUUGGGCACACGGCCACACUGCCCUGCCAGGCGAGCGGGACUCCCUCGCCCAAGAUCCGCUGGCUCUGGAACUCGCUGCCGCUGGAUGUCGCUUCAAAUCCCAGAUACGCACUGCUCAACGACAAAAUGCAUGGCACGUUGCAAAUAGUCAAGAGCGAAGAGGAAGACAACGGCAAGUUCGAAUGUGUUGCGGAAAACUCUAUCGGCACGGAAUUCUCCAAACCGACCGUGCUGUAUGUAAAAGUGAGGAGAGUGGCGCCGCAGUUCUCGAUACCCCCACCUCCCCGCUCAGAAGUGAUGCUCGGUGGUAACCUGACCCUCAAAUGCGUUGCCUUCGGUGCGCCGAUGCCCACCGUCAAAUGGAGAAAAGGCUUGACAAAAUGGCUGACGCCCGAAGACAAUCCGCCGCUAGGACUGAACAAUCUCAAACUGGAAGAUAUUAGGGAGUCUGCGAACUACACAUGCGAGGCGGCCAGCGUGCUCGGAGUCAUAGAAGCUACCGCAGAGGUGAAAGUGCAAUCGCUUCCCGGUCCGCCCACGGAAGUCAGGCCGUCGGAGAUCACUGCGACCACAGUCCGACUCACUUGGACGUACAACGGCCCCGAGGAACCCCAGUACUACGUCAUACAAUAUAAACCUAAAUACGCUAAUCAGGCCUUUAGUGAAAUAUCAGGAGUAGUCACUCAGUUCUAUGCUGUGACGAAUCUCUCGCCAUACACGGAGUACGAAAUGUACGUCAUAGCUGUCAACAACAUAGGACGCGGACCACCUUCUACUCCCGCCGUCAUCACCACAGGAGAAACUGUGGAUUCAUUAUACGCAGGUGCCAAACCCGGAUCAGCCCCGAGGAACGUGCAAGUACGGCCGCUCAGCUCAAGCACUAUGGUUAUACAGUGGGACGAACCCGAGACUCCUAAUGGUCAAGUGACUGGCUACAAAGUGUACUACACCACGGAUCCGUCGCAGGGUCUUCAAUCAUGGCAUUCGCAAAUGAUGGACAACAACCACCUGACGACGAUCAGCGAGCUGACGCCGCACACGGUGUACACCAUACGAGUUCAGGCGUUCACGUCCGUCGGCCCGGGGCCCAUCUCGGCGCCCGUGCAGGUCAAGACGCAGCAAGGAGUGCCUUCCCAACCGUCGAACCUGAUGGCAGUGGAGGCGGGAGAGACGUCGGUGACGCUCUCGUGGCGCAGGCCGGCGCACGCGGGCGACAACAUCGUCUCAUACGAACUGUACUGGAACGACACGUACGCCAAGGAGCAUCAUAAGAAGCGCAUCCCAAUCACGGAGACGUACACGCUGAACGGGCUGUACCCGAACACGUUGUACUACAUCUGGCUAGCGGCGCGGUCGCAGCGCGGCGAGGGCGCCACAACGCCGCCCAUCGCCAUCAGAACAAAACAAUACGUUCCCGGCGCCCCUCCGAUGAAUGUGACCGCCGUGCCGAUAUCGCCGACCGCCAUCCGCGUGUCGUGGCAACCGCCGCCAGCGGAGCGAGCCAACGGCCGUAUCGCUUACUACAAGCUGCUAUGCGUCGAAUCCGGGAGGGGAGAUUCGGAGGCGACCGUCGUCAAACUAAACCAGACGUCGUUCGUUCUGGACGAGUUAAGACGGUGGACGGAGUACCGCGUGUGGGUGCUCGCGGGCACCAGCGUGGGCGACGGGCCCGCCUCCUACCCGGUCACCGUGCGUACGCACGAAGACGUGCCCGGCGAGCCGCAGGACGUCAAGGUGACUGCGAUCAACUCGACGUCCAUACACGUCACGUGGAAGCCGCCGCAGGAGAAAGAAAAGAACGGCAUCAUACGAGGCUAUCAUGUGCACGUGCAGGAGAUCAGAGAAGAGGGCAAAGGUCUCCUCAACGACCCGAUGCGCUUUAACGUGAUGGACGACACAACACUCGAGCUGAACGUGUCAGGACUCCAGCCGGACACCAGGUACAGCGUGCAAGUCGCCGCGCUCACCAGGAAAGGGGACGGUGACCGCAGUCCCCCUGUCUCGGUGAAGACGCCUGGCGGCGUGCCUAAUAGGCCAAAUGUUAACCUCAAGGUUUUGGAACGAGAUCCCAUAGUAUCAAUAGAACUAGAAUGGCUUAAACCCACCCAAACGUACGGCGAUUUGCUUGGAUACCGUUUAAGAUAUGGUAUAAAAGAUCAACCGCUAGAAGAAGUUAAUUUCCCUGGAACCAAAGUUUCAUCACAUAGGAUAAAUGAUUUGGAGAGAGGUGUACAGUAUGAAUUCCGAGUGGCAGGGAAAAAUCAUAUCGGUAUCGGUCAAGAGUCAAUUAAAUACUGGUUAACGCCAGAGGGGGCGCCGAAGGGACCACCUACGAAUGUCACGUAUCACUUCCAAACCCCAGAUAUCAUUAGUGUUACAUGGGAAGCCCCGAUCAGGGCGGACAGAAGCGGCCAAAUAAAGAAAUAUGACGUCCAGUUUUAUAAGAGGGGUGAUCAGUCUUCAAUAGUAGAAAAGACUACAGAAUUAACAAAAGCUGUAUUCACUGGGUUGGAAGAAGAUGCUCAUUAUGUGUUCAAAGUUCGCGCGUAUACGGAGCAAGGAGCCGGGCCCUACAGCAAAGACCUCACGGCGCACACUGAAAGGGACAUAGGCAGGGCCCCCAUGGCAGUGAAAGCCGUCGCUACCUCGGAAUCUAGUGUAGAAGUUUGGUGGGAAACAUUCCGUUCCAGAAAGAAGAUUAUUGGCUACGUAAUUUUCUAUACGAUGACACCUGUAGAAGAUUUAGAUGAAUGGCUUCAAAAGAGUGUUCACGUAACGCAUUCUGCUGAUUUGGAAAAUUUAGAAAAGUUUGCAGAGUAUGCAGUUGCGGUUGCGGCUAAGACGGCCGAUGGCCUCGGCAGGUUAUCGGAGAAAGUCACAGUGAAAGUUAAGCCCGAUGAAGUGCCUUUACAUCUUAGAGCCCAAGAUGUAUCCACGCAUUCUAUGACAUUGUCAUGGUCCCCACCAUUACGCUUAAAUCCCGUUAAUUAUAAGAUAUCUUAUAACGCAAUAAAAGAGUUUGUUGAUUCUCUUGGAAUGACCCAAACGCAGGAAAUUCCAAGAAGAGAAAUAGUAGUAAAACAUGAUAGGACGUCGUAUUCUAUCAAUGAUCUAUCGCCAUUCACAACGUACAAUGUUAAUGUAAGUGCCAUACCAAAUGACGAUUCGUAUAGACCGCCAACAAAAAUCACUGUCACUACACAAAUGGCUGCGCCGAAGCCAAUGGUGAAGCCUGAUUUUUACGGUGUUGUUGAAAACGAAAUACUCGUCAUUCUACCUCAAGCUUCGGAAGAAUAUGGACCCAUAUCGCAUUAUUAUUUAGUUGUAGUACCUGAUGAUAAAGCUCAUAAUCAUAAGAAUCCUGAUCAGUUCCUAACAGAUGAUUUGAUAAAGAAUAAUAUGAGAACAGAUGAUGAAAAUGCACCUUAUAUUGCUGCGAAGUUUUUACAAAGAAAUAUAUUAUACACUUUCCAUCUUGGUAACGACGAAAUGUAUGAAGGAUUUUUGAAUCGAAAAUUGAAUCUGAAUAAAAGGUACCGAGUGUUCGUGAGGGCUGUCGUGGAUACUCCUCAAAAGCAUCUCUAUACGUCCAGUCCGUUCUCGGAAUAUUUAUCUUUAGACAUGCGCGAGGCACCACCUGGUGAAGAACCCAGCAGACCUGAUCCGAAAGACAUAAAUGGAGACCCCGAAAUACGAAUCGAAGAAAAUAGAAAGGAAGCUGGCAUGCUUUGGGUAAUAGGACCGAUCAUAGCCGCUUUAAUGCUAUCUUUGUGUCUAAUAGUAAUGUUUAUAAUGAAGAGAAGAAGACAACCUUGCAAGACACCUGACCAGGCCGCUGUGACACGGCCGUUAAUGUCAGCUGAUGUUGGAUUCGGCGCUCCAUCCGAUCCAGUAGAAAUGAGACGACUUAACUUUCAAACACCAGCCAUGAUAUCUCAUCCUCCUAUUCCUAUAUCCGAACUCGGUGACCACAUCGAAAGGCUAAAAGCAAACGACAAUUUGAAAUUCUCUCAGGAAUACGAAAGUAUUGAACCCGGACAGCAAUUCACGUGGGACCAUUCGAACAUGGACGUUAACAAACCGAAAAAUCGAUAUGCAAAUGUGAUUGCUUACGACCACAGUCGCGUAAUACUGCAACCUAUUGAUGGAAUUCUUGGCAGUGACUAUAUUAACGCAAAUUACUGUGAUGGCUAUCGAAAACACAAUGCUUACGUCGCGACGCAAGGUCCGUUGCAGGAAACAUUCGCCGAUUUCUGGAGAAUGUGUUGGGAACUGCGCACGUCUACGAUAGUAAUGAUGACUAAAUUAGAGGAAAGAACACGUAUCAAGUGUGACCAGUACUGGCCUAGUCGCGGUAGCGAAACGUACGGCAUGAUGACUGUGACCAUUGCGGAGGUUCAGGAGCUUUCUACUUAUUGUAUUCGCACAUUCCAAGUGACGAGAAACGGUGGCGCGGAACGUCGGGAAAUCAAACAAUUGCAGUUCACGGCUUGGCCUGACCACGGUGUACCGGACCAUCCAGCGCCAUUCCUGCAAUUCUUGAGACGAGUGCGAGCUCUGAAUCCCCCUGACGCAGGUCCUUUGGUAGUGCAUUGCUCGGCGGGCGUCGGUCGUACUGGCUGCUUCAUCGUUAUCGACUCUAUGCUUGAGAGAGCACGACACGAGCGUACUGUCGACAUUUACGGCCACGUGACAUGUUUGCGAGCCCAACGCAACUACAUGGUACAAACCGAAGAUCAAUACAUAUUCAUCCACGACGCGUUGCUGGAGGCGGUCGUCUGUGGCGACACUGAGGUGCCGGCGCGCAACCUCCACGCGCACAUUCAAAAGCUAAUGCGCAUCGAUUCGAUCGAGAACAUAACAGGAAUGGAAUUGGAGUUUAAAAAGUUGGCGAACAUGAAGGCGGAUUCGAGCCGUUUCGUGUCGGCCAGUCUUCCGUGCAACAAACACAAGAACAGGCUGGUGCACAUCUUGCCGUACGAGUCGACCCGCGUGUGCCUCACGCCGCGUGACGGCUCGGACUACAUCAACGCGUCGUUCGUGGACGGGUACCGCUACCGCGCCGCGUACAUCGCCACGCAGGGCCCGCUGCCCGACACCACUGAUGACUUCUGGCGCAUGCUGUGGGAGCACAACUCCACCAUCAUCGUGAUGCUCACCAAGCUCAAGGAGAUGGGCAGGGAAAAAUGUCAUCAGUAUUGGCCGUCGGAUCGUUCUGUUCGCUACCAAUGCUUCGUGGUCGACCCCAUCGCUGAAUACAAUAUGCCUCAGUACAUCUUGAGGGAAUUCAAGGUAACGGACGCGCGCGACGGCGCGUCUCGGACGGUGCGUCAGUUCCAGUUCACGGAUUGGCCGGAGCAGGGCGUGCCCAAGAGCGGCGAGGGCUUCAUCGACUUCCUCGGCCAGGUGCACAAGACCAAGGAACAGUUUGGACAGGACGGACCCAUCACUGUACAUUGCAGCGCCGGCGUGGGUCGCACGGGCGUGUUCAUCACGCUGUCGACGGUGCUGGAGCGCAUGCAGUACGAGGGCGUGGUGGACGUGUUCCAGACCGUGCGCACGCUCCGCACGCAGCGCCCCGCCAUGGUGCAGACCGAGGUACGCACCGCGCUCACAUACUCUUCCACUAACUACAUUACAUUAGCUACAACUACUGCUGUCGACGGUGCUGGAGCGCAUGCAGUACGAGGGCGUGGUGGACGUGUUCCAGACCGUGCGCACGCUCCGCACGCAGCGCCCCGCCAUGGUGCAGACCGAGGUACGCACCGCGCUCACAUACUCUUCCACUAACUACAUUACAUUAGCUACAACUACUGCUGUCGACGGUGCUGGAGCGCAUGCAGUACGAGGGCGUGGUGGACGUGUUCCAGACCGUGCGCACGCUCCGCACGCAGCGCCCCGCCAUGGUGCAGACCGAGGUACGCACCGCGCUCACAUACUCUUCCACUAACUACAUUACAUUAGCUACAACUACUGCUGUCGACGGUGCUGGAGCGCAUGCAGUACGAGGGCGUGGUGGACGUGUUCCAGACCGUGCGCACGCUCCGCACGCAGCGCCCCGCCAUGGUGCAGACCGAGGAUCAAUACGAGUUCUGCUACCGCGCUGCGCUGGAGUACCUCGGCUCGUUCGACCACUACGCCAACUGACGCUGAGACGUGCUCGUCUGAGCGCAUGCGCACGCGCACGCACGUACUUAACACUAUGUAUGUACACUAUAACGAUUUGGGACGGUUGUUGGUUUGUGUUUUACGAGGACUGGACAUAUUUGUGUGCUUCCGUUUUGUUCGUGUGACAAGAAUAUAAAGAUAUUAUACUUUUUGUUACUCGAUUAUACGUAAAUCCUUAUGACAUUUUGUAUUUUAAAUGAUCGAAGUGAAUAAUUUUCGAACGAUCGAACAAAUAGAACGAACGUUCAAAAAAACGUAAUUUUCUCUGCACGUAGUACAAAUUCAACAUCAACAUUCAGUUUGAAGAUUAUAGUGAACAAAUAUCUCUGUGACGAUGGAAACAAGCAAAAACAAAGUAUUAUAAUAAUAUAGUCCAAUACAAUCCGAAAUAUCUUGAACUGAAGCCAAGAAAUAAGCGGUCUUGUAUUUGGCAAACCACUACCAUUAUUAGACGAAUGCAAUAUCUGAAAUAAAAACAAUGUACAACGUUCCUAUAGGCUAAAUCUUCAGUGGAAAAUGUGAUAUACUUAUAAACUACAUAAUUAAUUUAAAAUCUCACAGUAAGAUAUUAUGAUAAUAUGGCUGGAUAUCAACAAUUACUCUGGCAUUUCUAGACCAAAAAUAGGAAAUAAAUAUUUGCCAAUCAUAUUUGUGGUGUGGUGUGCAAUUUCUCGUUGCAGAUGUUUUGUAGAGACCCAAUACAUGGUGUAAGCAUCAGAAAUUCUCGAAUACAAGUCCUGCAAACAAAUAAUGUUCAUUAAAAAAUAUUUUUCGUUCAAAAUCAGACAGACAUGGAACGAUUUUUUUACCGUUAUAUAAUUAUUUGUAUAAUAUAUUUUCAAAAAUUCUAUAAAAAUAAAUCAAAUAUAUAAAUCACCGAAAAAAAGUUAACAACAUCAAAAAAAAAUAUACAUAAAUAUUAAACAUUCAAUGCUUUUAAAAGCAACGAACAACCGUCCCAACGUCGAAAUGUUUUGUUGUCCCUACCCUGUUGUAAGUCAGUGCGGUUCCGGUGUGAACCGGGGCCUGCCCUAGUGAUGUACUGCCCACGUCGACUGAAAGUAAAAAACAUGUUAAUUUGAGGCUAUUACAUGUAUGAGUGCCUAAGAAAGCUACUUAUGAUGUAUAUUUACGAAUGUGACCACUUUUAAAAUCAUGAUUGUGAGUCGGAAGGGUAAUAAACGUAAUUAAAUAUUAUCCUUAUGUCUAACUUAUGAUAUAAACUAAAAAGGCGGUGGUUCGCGCUAUUUUUAAUCUAAAACGGAACAGUAUGAAAUGUUGAAGUCCAUAUAAACAGUUUAUAGAUGCAUUUAAAUAUUAUAUUACGACAGGAUUAUGAGAAGUAUAUUACGGGCAAUAUAAUGAUUAUGCCGACGUUUAUGAUUUGCACGGAGGUACAAUUCACAUUACGGCCACUUUAACGAACGAACGAGUGCGUUAGCGUUCCUCCGAUCGUUCGUUCGUAUGAUCAAUCGUUCGUACGAUCGAUCGUUCGUUCGUUCGUUCGUUCGUAACGUCAGUUGUUCCUCAAAACGUAACUUAGUGAAUGAAAACAGUGCGCUUAGAGACUUAACUAUACGCGUUAUAUUAUUCAAUUCUGAUCGUCACAUACAAUAUAUACAAACAUGAUAUUGUAAAAUGUAUAAAUAGUUAUUGCAGCUGUAAUUAGAAGUUUAUUUUUCAUAUCGGGUGUUAAAGAAGAAUAUACGUUUAAGUAGUGUAAAUUGUGGUAACACGUUUCAUUAUGCAAUAUAUGAUAAAGAAACUCUUUAGACGAAUCGGCUGUGUCGUGUGUUUGUGUCAGUCCUGUGCGUAGUAGGUAAUGUUGUGUAAAUAACUGUUUAUUUUUUUAAAGAAGUACGUUUAGUUUGCCAGCGCCCUGUUUUUUUAGUCUUGCCCUGUGAACCAGCCAGUUAUAAAGACUUGGCCGUCAAGUGACAAUCUGAAUUGCAAUACAAAAAAAAGACAAUGUAAAUGCUUUUUUGUGUAGUUUUUUUUUCGUUAGUUGUAUGUUAAUUUGUAAUGUCAACGCUUGCUUAGGUGAUGAUCGUGAUUCGAUGACAUAUCUAAUGUGUAGGUAGAAGUAAAUGUUUUCAUUGAUGUGGUAAUGUUUUAAAUGAAUUAUACAAUUAACGAUUCGACUGAUUUUGACGAAUCGCGCAACUCUAACGUGUCAUGUUAGAAAUGUAAACAGACGUUACCUGGAACGGUGUUUUGACGGAAGCCAUUUUUUAUUAGUUCACUAUUUAUCGCUUCUGUGACGGAUCGAAACAAUAUAUUUUCCUUAUAAUAUGUGAACGUCACUGCCACGAAUCUACCACACUAUAUUAAGCUAUCAUUAAGUGUAGUAUGUUAUUUAAUCUUAACAGUAACCCCUUGCAUAGUGAAUGUAUAAGAGUUUAGGUUUUUCACUCGUUUUAUACAAUAUACCCUGUAACUUAUAUCAAUCUUUUUACGUAUAAGUUAAACUUUGAGCUUGUAUGUAAAUUUAGGGAAUAAUACGGUGUAACGCGGUCUUCAUGUAGAUAUGCGAACAAUUUAAAUACUACUCAUUUGUGAGAGAGAGUUAUAAUUGUGUGUGCGUCUCGUUUCGGUCGCGUCGUACGACCGGAACGCACGAACUGCCAAGCGAGUGAAGCUUUUGAAAAAAAAUCAAAAAAAUAAUUACUAACAAUAAUACGAAACGUACGUAGAUUUUAAUGAGAGUAAUUGUUAAAAUGAGGUUAUAGUGAAAAUUUAAUACUCGUUGAUAAAUCAUGUUUGUCGAGGAGCAAAUACAUGAUAGUGGACAGCUUUGUUUUGUUAACAGCCAGUGUAUCACAUCAAGCUUUAAACAUACAUCAUUCCUACAUGUUUUAUUUUGUCUUGCCGCUUGUUAUGAUUUUUUAAUGUGUUAUAAAUAUAUUAUCGAAAUAAUUGAAUUAAAUUCCAUGAAUUACAUUUUUUUUUUCGAGAUUUCCUCCGAUUUGUGACCCGCGAUUUAUUUAAAAAUCAAAUACAAAUACAAAAAAGUUUUCAGACGUUGUAAUAUUCAACUAAAAAGGUAUUCUAAUCCCUCAUUUUAAAGUUCAAAUAAUCCGAGCAAUGGAAUGAAUACCAAUGUGUAGAAUAAUAUAUUGAACGCACACUGAGAUCUCUCUUGUACAGUUAUUGAUACAGUUACUCGUAAUAGGUUUAGGUUUAACUUUCGAACUGUUUACAGCGAACUUACAUUACCAUAUUGUAUUUUAUAUCCUCUAUCCUAUCCUAUAAAACCGCAGAAUUUGCCGCUGAAUGUAAAAAUAUAUUUUUCGCAUAAAAAGGACACCCUAUAUUGUGUUUUCCUACAAACAGCUAACUAUAUUCCUAUUGUACUUUAUAAUUUUGGCCAAAUGGCUGUUUUGGUUUUUAUAUGAUAAAAAUACAUCUUUAAAUUAUUGAAUAUUUUUUUUAAUCCCAAUUCCUAUAUGUAUAAUAAUCAUGCCAUUGUAUACCCAUAAUCAGUCGAUUGUACAAAUAGCAGUCAGUACAAAAUAUAAUAAUACAGAGUGUUCAAAAACUCAUUUAAUUCGUUCAUAAAUAAUGGUAAAGACGCCGUAACCAGUAUCGAAGGUGAUUUAUUUUAGUUUUGUUUCCAAUAGUAAUUAACAUUGUCAUGCCAUAACGAGGUGCUUCGUUCUGUUUUGUUAGUACCGUGUUGUUUAAAUCUACAAUCAAUGUUUCGUUUUAUGAUCAUGGAAUUUCGUUUCGUACAAGAAAGACUGAUUUACAAUAAUUUCGAUGUGUUUUUUAAUUAAUUUGAAAUUUGUGUAAUUGUAAUAAAUGAAUGAACAAUGUGUUGUAAUAUUUGUUGUAAUCCUAUAAUUAUGUGUUUGUAGUUUUAAUUGUAAUUUACAUAUUUUUUUGUGAAACGCACCGUUUGUUUGGGAACUCUUUGGACGCAACCAAAUAAAUGAAUGAAGAAAAUUUAUUUUUGAAAAUAGCAAUAAAUUAAUAUAAAGCAAUUGUUUUUACACAAAAUGAAAUAGAUUUUUUAUGAAAUUCAAAGACUUCCCAAACGAGACGGAUAUAAACUCCACGACCGAACAAAUUUAGCAUUUAUUAUGAACAAAAUAAAACGCCAUUUAGCGUGUAAUAAUGCAAAAAAAAGGUACGCCAUCCGAAAAAUACUUUUUUGAUCAUAAAAUAAUUUGCAUUUUUGAACGAAUUGGCAUUAUGUGUAAGGCCGUAGCUUUAAAGAAUGUGUUAGUGCAAAUAAAAUGGCGCACGCAAGAUGGCUGGCGGGGAGACUCGUCAGUGUACCUAGAGGUUGGUAGAUCAUGUUUAUUUUGUAAAAUACCCGCGCUGCGUCUCGGGCACAGUGGAUUCGCAAAUUAUACAUAUGUAUAUGAAGAAAUAAAUUUAUGUGAGACCAUA